rnacentral:lncRNA from 1 species
CUAGCAAUGCCCUACAAGCACAUUAGCUCGACACAGACGAAUUAAUUAUGCCUUGUUCACGUUAUGUGAUGUGCGGUAUCAAAGUUUGAUUAGGUUAGAUUUUUUCUACUAAAAAAAAAUGAUUAGAUUUUUUUCUGACUCAUUUAAAGCAUCCGUGCUUUUAGUAGAAAAAUUCCAGAUCACUAUUUGCUCAUGUUAGCUAGGAAAUGCUACGAUGUGUUUGACUAUGAUCCC